AAGUUGAGACUCAUGAUAGAAGGACUGAGUCACACAAUAACUACACCUAAAGAUUUAUACUUUCAUUCUAUUAGGUUACUGCCACAUACUGCUAAAUAUCACUGGUGGAUUAUGUAACUCAUCGAGUAUCAUCUUGAUGAUCGAUGACCCUCAAAGGAUAGAGUUGGAAUUGUUUCAACCUAUCGAAAGGAGUUUUGAUGACA
rnacentral:lncRNA from 1 species